rnacentral:lncRNA from 1 species
GACCGUCUGUCUACUGUCUCUCCGUUACUACCGUCUGUCUCCUGUCUCUCCUCUCCGUUACUACCAGCCUGUCUACUGUCUACUGUCUCCGUUACUACUCUCUACUGUCUCCCCUCUCCGUUACUACUGUCUGUCUACUGUCUCUGUUACUACCGUUGUCUACUGUCUCUCUCCUCUCCGUUACUACCGUCUGUCUACUGUCUCCGUUACUACCGUUUGUCUACUGUCACUGUCUCCGUUACUACGCGUUGUCUACUGUCUACUGUCUCUCUCCUCUCCAUUACUACCGUCUGUUACUGUCUCCCCUCUCCGUUACUACUGUCUGUCUACUGUCUUUCCAUUACUACCGUCUGUCUCCUGUCUCUCCUCUCCGUACUACCGUCUGUCUACUGUCUCCGUUACUACGUUUGUCUACUGUCUCCGUUACUACCGUCUGUCUACUGUCUCUGUUACUACCGUUUGUCUACUGUCUCUCUCCUCUCCGUUACUACUGUCUGUCUACUGUCUCUCUCCUCUCCAUUACUACCAUCUGUCUACUGUCUCUCCUCCCUGUUACUACCGUCUUUCUACGGUCUCUCUCCUCUCCGUUAUACCGUCUGUCUACUGUCACUCCCUCUCGUUACUACUGUCUGUCUCCUGUCUCUCCUCUCCGUUACUACCGCCGCUGUCUACUGUCUACGUCUCCGUUACUACCGUUUGUCUACUGUCUAUGUCUCUCUCCUCUCCGUUACUACGUCUGCUACUGUCUCCAUCUCUGUUACUACUCUCUCUACUGUCUCCCCUCUCCGUUACUACUGUCUGUCUACUGUCUUGUUACUACCGUUUGUCUACUGUCUCUCUCCUCUCCGUUACUACCGUCUGUCUACUGUCUCCGUUACUACCGUUUGUCUACUGCAUCUGUCUCUGUUUACUACCGUUUGUCUACUGUCUACUGUCUGUCUCCUCUCCAUUACAACUGUUUGUCUACUGUCUCUCUCCUCUCCAUUACUAUACAGUCAUCUACUGUCUCUCCUCUCCGUUACUACCGUCUGUCUACUGUCUCUAAUCUCUGUUACUACUCUCUACCGUCUCUCCUCUCCGUUACUACUGUCUGUCUACUGUCUUUCCGUUACUACCGUCUGUCUCCUGUCUCUCUCCUCUCCGUACUACCGUCUGUCUACUGUCUCUAACUCUGUUACUACUCUCUACUGUCUCUCCUCUCCGUUACUACUGUCUGUCUACUGUCUUUCCGUUACUACCGUCUGUCUCCUGUCUCUCCUCUUCCGUUACUACCGUCUGUCUACCGUCUCUGUUACUACCGUUUGUCUACUGUCUCUCUCUCCUCUCCGUUACUACUGUCUGUCUACUGUCUCUCUCCUCUCCAUUACUACCAUCUGUCUACUGUCUCUCCUCUCUGUUACUACCGUCUUCCUACGGUCUCUCUCCUCUCCGUUAUUACCGUCUGUCUACUGUCACUCCCCUCUCCGUUACUACCGUCUGUCACUGUUCUCCCCUCUCCGUUACUACCGUCUUUCUCCUCUCCGUUACUACCGUCUGUCUACUGUCUACUGUCUCUGUUACUACCGUCUGUCUACUGUGUCUCUCCUCUCCGUUACUAUCGUCUGUCUCCUGUCGCUCCCCUCUCUGUUACUGCCGUCUGUCUACUGUCGCUCCCUCUCCGUUACUACUGACUACUGUCUCCGUUACUACUCUCUCCGUUACUACUGUCUCCUUUACUACCGUUUGUCUACUGUCGCUCCCCUCUCCGUUACUACUGUCUACUGUCAUCCGUUACUACUGUCUACUGUCUCCGUUACUACGUCUACUGUCUCUGUUACUAUACUGUCUCCGUUACUACUGUCUACUCUCGCGUUACUACUGUCUACUUCUCCGUACUACUGUCUACUGUCUCCGUUACUUCGUCUCCGUUACUACCGUUUGUCUACUGUCGCUCCCCUCUCCGUUACUACUGUCUACUGCUCCAUUACUACUGUCUACUGUCGCUCCCGUCUCCGUUACUACUGUCUCCGUUACUACUGUCGCUCCCGUCUCCGUUUCUACUGUCUACUGUCGCUCCCCUCCAUUAUACUGUCUCCGUUACUACUGUCUACUGUCGCUCCGUCUCCGUUACUACUGUCGCUCCCGUCUCCGUUACAACUGUCCUCGUUAGGACCGUCUGUCUACUGUCUCUCCGUUACUACCGUCUGUCUCCUGUCUCUCCUCUCGUUACUACCGCCUGUCUACUGUCUACUGUCUCCGUUACUAUCUCUACUGUCUCCCCUCUCCGUUACUACUGUCUGUCUACGUCUCUGUACUACCGUUGUGUCUACUGUCUCUCUCCUCUCCGUUACUACCGUCUGUCUCUGUCUCCGUUACUACCGUUUGUCUACUGUCUACUGUCUCCGUUACUACCGUUUGUCUACUGUCUACUGUCUCUCUCCUCUCCAUUACUACCGUCUGUCUACUGUCUCCCCUCUCCGUUACUACUGUCUGUCUACUGUCUUUCCAUUACUACCGUCUGUCUCCUGUCUCUCCUCUCCUUACUACCGUCUGUCUACUGUCUCCGUUACUACCGUUUGUCUACUGUCUCCGUUACUACCGUCUGUCUACUGUCUCUGUUACUACCGUUUGUCUACUGUCUCUCUCCUCUCCGUUACUCACUGUCUGUCUACUGUCUCUCUCCUCUCCAUUACUACCAUCUGUCUACUGUCUCUCCUCCCGUUACUACCGUCUUUCUACGGUCUCUCUCCUCUCCGUUAUUACCGUCUGUCUACUGUCACUCCCCUCCGUUACUACUGUCUGUCUCCUGUCUCUCCUCUCCGUUACUACCCGCUGUCUACUGUCUACUGUCUCCGUUACUACCGUUUGUCUACUGUCUACUGUCUCUCUCCUCCGUUACUACCGUCUGUCACUGUCUCUCAUCUCUGUUACUACUCUCUACUGUCUCCCCUCUCCGUUACUACUGUCUGUCUACUGUCUCUGUUACUACCGUUUGUCUACUGUCUCUCUCCUCUCCGUUACUACCGUCUGUCUACUGUCUCCGUUACUACCGUUUGUCUACUGUCUACUGUCUCUGUUACUACCGUUUGUCUACUGUCUACUGUCUGUCUCCUCUCCAUUACUACUGUUUGUCUACUGUCUCUCCCUCUCCAUUACACAGUCUAUCUACUGUCUCUCUCUCCGUUACUACCGUCUGUCUACUGUCUCUAA